rnacentral:rRNA from 1 species
AGUGAACGCUGGCGGUAGGCCUAACACAUGCAAGUCGAACGGCAGCACAGUAAGAGCUUGCUCUUACGGGUGGCGAGUCGCGGACGUGAGAGGAAUAUAUCGGAAUCUACUCUUUCGUGGGGGAUAACGUAGGGAAACCUACGCCAAUACAGCAUCCGACCUUCGGGUGAAAGCAGGGGAUAUUCGCACCUUGCGCGAUUGAAUGCGCCGAUGUCGGAGUUGUUAGUUGGCGGGGUAAAUGCCCACCAAGUCGACGAUCCGUAGCUGGUCUGAGAGGAUGAUCAGCCACACUGGAACUGAGACACGGUCCAGACGCCUACGGGAGGCAGCAGUGGGGAAUAUUAGACAGUAGGCGCAAGCCUGGUCCAGCCGUACCGCGUGGGUGAAAAAGGCCUUCGGGUUGUAAAGCCCUUUUGUUGGGAAAGAAAAGCAGCAGGUUAAUACGCCGCUGUUCUGACGGUACCCAAAGAAUAAGCACCGGCUAACUUCGUG